GUCUAUGACCACGCUACCCUGAGCUCGGAAGCUAAGCAGGGUCGGACCUGGUUAGUACUUGGAUGGGAGACCACCUAGGAAGACCAGGUGCUGUAGGCG
rnacentral:rRNA from 1 species